rnacentral:rRNA from 1 species
GCCGUUAAACCCCCCACUUUCUGAAGGUUGACCUCGGAUCAGGUAGGAAUACCCG